AGUGAACGCUGGCGGCAGGCCUAACACAUGCAAGUCGAACGGCAGCACAGUGGAGCUUGCUCCAUGGGUGGCGAGUGGCGGACGGGUGAGGAAUACAUCGGAAUCUGCCCAGUCGUGGGGGAUAACAUAGGGAAACUUAUGCUAAUACCGCAUACGACCUACGGGUGAAAGCGGGGGAUCGCAAGACCUCGCGCGAUUGGAUGAGCCGAUGUCCGAUUAGCUAGUUGGCGGGGUAAUGGCCCACCAAGGCGACGAUCGGUAGCUGGUCUGAGAGGAUGAUCGGCCACACUGGAACUGAGACACGGUCCAGACUCCUACGGGAGGCAGCAGUGGGGAAUAUUGGACAAUGGGCGCAAGCCUGAUCCAGCCAUGCCGCGUGGGUGAAGAAGGCCUUCGGGUUGUAAAGCCCUUUUGUCCGGAAAGAAAAGCCUCGGAUUAAUACCCUGGGGUGAUGACGGUACCGGAAGAAUAAGCACCGGCUAACUUCGUGCCAGCAGCCGCCGUAAAAC
rnacentral:rRNA from 1 species